AGAGGAAGGCUCGUCCGCUCUGGGUUAGUCGGGUCCUAAGCUGAGGCCGACAGGCGUAGGCGAUGGAUAACAGGUUGAUAUUCCUGUACCACCUAUAAUCGUUUUAAUCGAUGGGGGGACGCAGUAGGAUAGGCGAAGCGUGCGAUUGGAUUGCACGUCUAAGCAGUAAGGCUGAGUAUUAGGCAAAUCCGGUACUCAUUAAGGCUGAGCUGUGAUGGGGAGAAGACAUUGUGUCUUCGAGUCGUUGAUUUCACACUGCCGAGAAAAGCCUCUAGAUAGAAAAUAGGUGCCCGUACCGCAAACCGACACAGGUAGUCAAGAUGAGAAUUCUAAGGUGAGCGAGCGAACUCUCGUUAAGGAACUCGGCAAAAUGACCCCGUAACUUCGGGAGAAGGGGUGCUCUUUAGGGUUAACGCCCAGAAGAGCCGCAGUGAAUAGGCCCAAGCGACUGUUUAUCAAAAACACAGGUCUCUGCUAAACCGUAAGGUGAUGUAUAGGGGCUGACGCCUGCCCGGUGCUGGAAGGUUAAGAGGAGUGGUUAGCUUCUGCGAAGCUACGAAUCGAAGCCCCAGUAAACGGCGGCCGUAACUAUAACGGUCCUAAGGUAGCGAAAUUCCUUGUCGGGUAAGUUCCGACCCGCACGAAAGGCGUAACGAUUUGGGCACUGUCUCAACGAGAGACUCGGUGAAAUCAUAGUACCUGUGAAGAUGCAGGUUACCCGCGACAGGACGGAAAGACCCCGUGGAGCUUUACUGUAGCCUGAUAUUGAAAUUCGGCACAGCUUGUACAGGAUAGGUAGGAGCCUUUGAAACGUGAGCGCUAGCUUACGUGGAGG
rnacentral:rRNA from 1 species